UACGGAGGGGGCUAGCGUUGUUCGGAAUUACUGGGCGUAAAGCGCACGUAGGCGGCUUUGUAAGUUAUAGGUGAAAGCCCGGGGCUCAACUCCGGAAUUGCCUUUAAGACUGCAUCGCUAGAAUUGUGGAGAGGUAAGUGGAAUUCCGAGUGUAGAGGUGAAAUUCGUAGAUAUUCGGAAGAACACCAGUGGCGAAGGCGACUUACUGGACACAUAUUGACGCUGAGGUGCGAAAGCGUGGGGAGCAAACAGG
rnacentral:rRNA from 1 species